rnacentral:rRNA from 1 species
UACGAAGGGUGCAAACGUUGCUCGGAAUCAUUGGGCGUAAAGCGCACGUAGGCGGCUUCGCAAGUCGGAUGUGAAAUCCCUCGGCUCAACCGAGGACGUGCAUCCGAAACUGCGAGGCUUGAGUACAGAAGAGGAUCGCGGAAUUCCCGGUGUAGAGGUGAAAUUCGUAGAUAUCGGGAGGAACACCAGUGGCGAAGGCGGCGAUCUGGGCUGAUACUGACGCUGAGGUGCGAAGGCGUGGGGAGCAAACAGG